rnacentral:rRNA from 1 species
GAUGAACGCUGGCGGCGUGCCUAAUACAUGCAAGUCGAGCGAAAAGAUGAGGAGCUUGCUCCUCUGACGUUAGCGGAGGACGGGUGAGUAACACGUGGAUAACCUACCUAUCAGACUGGGAUAACUUCGGGAAACCGGAGCUAAUACCGGAUAAUAUAUUGAACCGCAUGGUUCAAUAGUGAAAGACGGUUUUGCUGUCACUUAUAGAUGGAUCCGCGCCGCAUUAGCUAGUUGGUAAGGUAACGGCUUACCAAGGCAAGCAUGCGUAGCCGACCGCAGGGGGUGAUCGGCGACACUGGAGCUUAGACACGGUCCAGACUCCUACGGUAGGCAGCAGUAGCGAAUGGUCCGCAAUGGGCGGAAGCCUGACGGAGCGACGCGGCGUGAGUGGUGAAGGUCUUCGGAUCGUAAUACUCGGUUAUGGGUGAAGAACAAAUUUGUAAGUAACUAUGCACUGCUUGACGGUACCUAGUCAGAAAGCCACGGCUAACUACGUG